GACAGCGUGGCAUAGUGGUUUGAGAGCUGGACUCCAACUCUGGAUGCCAGGGUUCAAUUCCCGGCUCAGCUA